GCAGAACUGGCGAUGCGGGAUGA
rnacentral:ncRNA from 3 species